rnacentral:rRNA from 1 species
GUUAACGCUGGCAGCGUGCAUAACACAUGCAAGUCGAACGAGAUAUCCGCAAGGGUAUCUAGUGGCAGACGAGUGAGUAACAUGUAAGGAAUCUACCCUCGAGUGGGGAAUAACUCGCCGAAAGGCGAGCUAAUACCCCAUAAUUCCGGAUGACGGCAUCGUCGUCCGAGGAAAGGCUUCGGCCGCUCAAGGAGGACCUUGCAUCCUAUCAGCUAGUUGGCGGGGUAACGGCCCACCAAGGCUAUGACGGGUACCCGGCCUGAAAGGGCGACCGGGCACGGAGGCACUGAGACACGGGCCUCACUCCUACGGGAGGCAGCAGUGGGGAAUUUUGGACAAUGGGGGAAACCCUGAUCCAGCAACGCUGCGUGAGGGAUGACGGCCUGAGGGUCGUAAACCUCUUUUCCAAGGGAAGAAAUCCCGCAAGGGUGUGACGGUACCUUGGGAAUAAGCCCCGGCUAAAUAUGU